GUCAAUUGAAAGCGAAAUCGUAUUAACAAUUGUUGAUUAAGCAAACCAAGAGGAUCAACCAUAUUAUCAACCCUAAUGUUUAAAGUAUGAAUUCAUGUUACAACAGCUAUGGAUGAAACUAAAGAGCAAAUAUUAUUUUGUCAAUUACAAGUUACACCUAUUGUGAUUAUAAUUAAUGUUGCUGUUAACAUUACUUCAAGUCAAAAUAGUGGUUAUGAGUUAACUUUGGAUUUCAAUGGAAAGGCCAAGGUAAAUGGCUGUAAGUUAAUUUAUAAUUACACCGUUGUAACUGUAAUAACAUGAAACCAAGGAUGAUAAAGUGUUGACCAUUUGGAUGGAUUUUGAUUCAAAAUUGUGAUAAUUUUUGGUUGGUUGAAAUGGGAGGAAGAAUCAAGUCAUAAGUUCAACAAGCAUCCAAGGAUUCAGCGAUUCAGGGAAUAAUGAUUAAGAAUGGUAAACUGGCCAUUGGAUGCG